rnacentral:rRNA from 1 species
GAUGAACGCUGGCGGCGUGCCUAAUACAUGCAAGUCGAGCGAACAGAUGAGGAGCUUGCUCCUCUGACGUUGGCGGCGGACGGGUGAGUAACACGUGGAUAACCUACCUAUAAGACUGGGAUAACUUCGGGAAACCGGAGCUAAUACCGGAUAAUAUAUUGAACCGCAUGGUUCAAUAGUGAAAGACGGUUUUGCUGUCACUUAUAGAUGGAUCCGCGCCGCAUUAGCUAGUUGGUAAGGUAACGGCUUACCAAGGCAACGAUGCGUAGCCGACCUGAGAGGGUGAGCGGCCACACUGGAACUGAGACACGGUCCAGACUCCUACGGGAGGCAGCAGUAGGGAAUCGUCCGCAAUGGGCGAAAGCCUGACGGAGCAACGCCGCGUGAGUGAUGAAGGUCUUCGGAUCGUAAAACUCUGUUAUUAGGGAAGAACAAAUGUGUAAGUAACUAGGCACGUCUUGACGGUACCUAAUCAGAAAGCCACGGCUAACUACG